rnacentral:lncRNA from 12 species
AUGUACUCCCCAGGACAGGUCCAGCUGCAAGUGCGUUCCGGUGCAGACACCAUUAUUACAAUUUCAGAACCCCAUGAAGGAAACCUAACCACGAGAUUAUUAGAACGAAAGAGUAACAGCAUCUCUGCUACCGAUACCCCUGAAUCAUCUGAGGCCACAAAGAGCUGUCAAGCAAAUUCACUGCAGCAUCUACAGUGGAAGCUUUGCUGUGAGUGCUCGUCUAUAAACGACAUGGAACCUUCUCAAUGUCUUCCAGCAGGCCUGGAUAUGUAGAAAAAAGUAAGGCACAUGCUGAAAGGCAGCAUUGAACCAGAGACCUCAAGUCUUAAGUUGAAAUCGUCCCCAACAGCAAGUCUUGACUGGGAAUUCUUUGUUCUCAACUCAAAAUCCUCAUUGUGUGCUGUGUCCUAAAACUCAGAAGAGGAAGGUUUCCUGUUACACCAGCAAGGAUAUGGAGAGAUCAGUCUUGAUAUUUCACCCAGAAAACCUUUAUGAUGCCCAAGUCGGGGACACCUGGCUGUCACAUGGCUUCUGCGUCCAGAAUCUCCCUGAUGCCAGCUCUGCUCCAUUCACUCAGCACCAUCAAUGAGCAGAGCGCUGCUACCGAAAUUGUAUUAUCUACAGUCAUGCUCCACAUCCCAGCCACAAAGCAUUACUCUCCCUUCUCUGAUCCCCUGUUCUUUAACCCAAAAUAUCACAUCAGGUGGCAAGAUGUACAGAGCCUGGUGUCUGCAGGUGCUCAACACCCCAUAUCCUAGUUUUGUUUUUGUUUGCAUUCGUAUCUGAUGAGAUUUCUACAACGCAUAUGUGUUAAUUUUUUUUAAAGCAAAAAAUAAAACUUCUAAGUGUCCCUUUUGGGAAGCGGAA